UGCUGCAUCUCCCGCAUCGCGCACCCACCUGCUCGUUCCCAGAUCUCUUCCCCCCUCGCGCAUCUCGCCCAACAACCUCACCGGCGAGGCGCGCGCCCGGCGACGAGGACCCCGCCGCCGCCGCCGCCGCCGCCGAGAUGUACAUGGCGUAUGGCUGGCCGCAGUCGAUCCCGCUCGACCCGGGGGACUCCGACCGCGUGGUCCUCCUCCGCGUCCUCGGCCGCUACCUCCUCGCCGUCUGCCCGGCCUCCCUCCACCUCUGGUCCGCCGCCCACCACAAGGUCCGCCUCGCCCGCCUCGACCGCUCCCCGGAAUCCCUCGCCGCCCACGGCGACAACGCCCACUCCGUCUGGAGCCCCGACGCCAAGACCGUCGCCGUCCUGACCUCGUCCUUCUACCUGUACAUAUACAAGCUGCAGUUCUCGGGGAAGCCGCUGAUCAUCGGAGGCAAGCCACAACCGGGGCUCUGCCUCGCCUCCAUAUCGCAAAUAAUCGUCGAGAAGGUUCCUCUCGCCAAUGACGCUUUCAUAACGAGCAAUUUCGUGUGCGACAGCAAGAGUAUGCUGCUUGGACUGUCCAAUGGGCACUUGCAGGUCAUCUCCUGGAAUGCUGAGUUCUCGGACAGCUUCAAGCUUGGCUGCUCCGCAUGUUCAUCCAACAGAACUCCCACUGUCGGAGAUGCUUUGGUGUUUGACCCGCCUAGUUUGCGAGAAAAUUCUGAUGCAAGUCCUGCACCCUGCUGCACAGGGAAUUCCACCAUUAUUCAUGUUGAGUUGUCAGUGAAGCUAAGAUUGCUAGUUGCUUUGUACUCGGGCUGUCAGAUUGGACUUUGUGCAGUUGGUAAGAAGGGAUUAAAGCAAACCAGCAGCAUCAGAGUAGAGAGAUGGUUGAACACUGAUGACGCGAUGUGCACUUCUGUGGCUUCUGAUCAGCAGAUUCUUGCUGUUGGGUGCAGUAGAGGUGUUGUUGAUUUAUAUGACCUAGCUGAAAAUGCAAGGCAUAUCCGCACAAUUUCUUUGUAUGAUUGGGGGUAUUCAGUGGAAGAUACUGGUCCUGUUACUUGUAUAUCUUGGACGCCUGACAAUUGUGCUUUUGCAGUUGGAUGGAAAUUUAGGGGACUUACUGUGUGGUCUGUAUCUGGAUGUCGUUUGAUGUGCACAAUUCGUCAAACCGGAUCAAAUUCUGCCUCAUCUCCAAUGGUUAAACCUAGUGCUUUAAAAUUUGAGCCUCUAAUGGGAGGGACGUCACACAUUCAGUGGGAUGAUUAUGGAUAUAAACUAUUUGCAGUUGAAGAAAACUUGUCAGAAAGGAUUCUUGCAUUCUCAUUUGCCAAAUGUUGCCUAAACAGAGGACUUUUGGGCACAACAUAUACUCGCCAGAUUCUUUAUGGUGAAGAUCGAAUCCUAUUGGUACAACCGGAUGAUACUGAUGAACUUAAGAUGUUGCAUCUUAAUGUUCCAGCAUCCUAUAUUUCACAGAAUUGGCCAGUUCUUCAUGUUGUUGCAAGCAAUGAUGGUAUGUACUUGGCAGUUGCAGGCUCUCAUGGGCUAGUGCUGUAUGAUUUGCGCAAUAAAAGGUGGCGUGUUUUUGGGGAUGUUACUCAAGAGCAAAAGAUUCAAUGCAAAGGCUUGUUGUGGCUUGGCAAAAUAGUUAUUGUAUGCAACUACAUUGAAUCAUCAAAUACGUAUGAGCUUCUCUUUUUCCCAAGAUAUCACCUUGAUUAUAGCUCAUUACUUUACCGGAAAUCACUUCUUGGUCGACCAAUUGUCAUGGAUGUCUUCCAGGACUACAUACUUGUUACCUACAGUCCAUUUGAUGUGCAUAUUUUCCAUGUGGUGAUAUCAGGAGAAUUGUCACCUGCUAGUAGUCCUGUUUUACAGCUUUCAACAGUCCGAGAACUUUCAAUCAUGAGUCCAAAGAGUCCACCUGUUUCGAUGCGCUUCAUUCCUGAACCAACUGAUGAAGGAAAGCCGAAACAUGAUACUAAUGGAUCUUCUGACUUGUCCCAACAACCUUCAAGAUGCCUAAUCUUGCGGAUGAAUGGGGAACUUUCUGUGUUGGACAUGGAUGAUGGACAUGAACAAUCACUUACUAAUUCAGUUGAAUUAUUUUGGGUCACUUGUUCCCAAUACGAAGAGAAGGGUAAUCUUAUCAAAGAGGUUUCAUGGCUUGACUAUGGCCAUAAGGGGAUGCAGGUGUGGUACCCAUCCCAUGGAGAAAAUCCUUUUAAACAAGAAGAUUUCUUGCAGCUGGAUCCGGAGCUUGAAUUUGACCGUGAGGUGUAUCCGCUUGGUCUUCUUCCAAAUGUUGGUGUAGUUGUUGGUAUUUCUCAGAGAAUGUCCUUCUCGACUGCAGAGUUUCCAUGCUUUGAACCUUCUCCUCAAGCCCAAACAAUAUUGCAUUGUUUGCUGCGGCAUCUCCUUCAGAGAGACAAACAUGAAGAAGCUCUGCGUUUGGCAAACUUGUCUGCAGAGAAACCUCACUUCUCUAGAUGUUUGGAAUGGCUCCUGUUUACGGUAUUUGAUGCAGAGAUAUCAAGCCAAAGUGCUUCAAAAAACCAGCUUUCGCAGAAAAAUGAACCUGCAAAGAAGUCUCUUCUAGACAAGACAUGUGACCUACUUCGAAACUUUCCAGAAUACAUGGAUGUUGUAGUCAGUGUUGCUAGGAAAACUGAUGGUCGGCACUGGGCAGAUCUUUUCCAUGCAGCUGGACGAUCCACAGAGAUGUUUGAGGAAUGCUUCCAACGGCGAUGGUAUAGGACUGCUGCUUGCUACAUUCUGGUCAUUGCGAAGCUGGAAGGCCCUGCUGUCAGUCAGUACUGUGCACUCCGUUUGCUACAAGCUACACUUGAUGAAUCUCUCUAUGAGCUUGCUGGGGAGCUGGUUCGCUUCUUGCUAAGAUCUGGCAGAGACUUUGAAAAUGCCAGUACAGACUCUGAAAAGCUUUCUCCAAGGUUUCUGAGCUACUUUCAAUUACGUUCACCAUUCAAGAGACAAUCUUCUGAUUUGAGAAGUAACUCAAUGAAAGAGCUCAGCCCACAUAUUGCCUCUGUCAUGAAUAUUCUGGAGAACCAUGCUAGCUAUUUGAUGUCUGGCAAGGAGCUUUCUAAGCUGGUUGCUUUUGUGAAAGGAACUCAGUUUGAUCUUGUGGAAUAUCUUCAGCGAGAAAGGCUAGGGUCUGCUCGACUAGAGAAUUUUGCAUCUGCACUUGAACUGAUUGGACAAAAGCUUCAAAUGGACACUCUUCAAAGUCGGCUUGAUGCUGAGUUCCUUCUUGCUCACAUGUGUUCUGUCAAGUUUAAGGAAUGGAUUGUUGUGCUAGCAACUUUAUUGAGACGCGCUGAGGUUUUGGUGGAUCUCUUUCGACAUGAUUUGCGACUGUGGAAAGCAUAUAACAUCACCUUACAGUCACAUGAUGUGUUCAGAGAGUACCUUGAUCUUCUUAACACUUUGGAGGAGGAGCUUUCAUCUGUUUCUGAUCUUACAUUGCAAAAUAGACCAGUGUCAUGAGUGCUGAUGGCACUGGGAAAUCAAUUGGACGGAUAACAGUUUAACCUGUGUUAAUUUAACACAUAGUAGAUGGAGAGGCGCAGGAAUACAAUGUAAAUAGCAUUUUUUGGGGGGAUUUUCCCCUUAGAGCAACAUCUUGGAGGCCAUGGCAGUUUUUUUUGCAGAGAAUCAGCUACUUGCCAUAUUGUUGUACCAUUAGUUUGUUGAAGCAGAUUGGAGUGUGCAUUCUUCCCCUUUCUGGGGAAAUUGUUUCUCUCGAGGAGGUUUUUUCCUCGGCCCUUUUGACAGGUCAAUACUUAGUUCGUACCCUGGAUGGGAAAGUUUUAUCAUACAGAAUGUUAUUCUACAAUAUUAGGAGAUGUAUUUUUGUACAACAGUAACAUCAGAGGUAACACGUAUAUUUCAUGGCA